rnacentral:rRNA from 1 species
ACCGGCAAACGGGUGCGCAACACGUACAGAACCUUCCUUUAAGCGGGGGAUAGCCCGGAGAAAUCCGGAUUAAUACCCCAUAGUAAUGUUGGGUGGCAUCAUUUGACAUUUAAAGAUUUAUCACUUAAAGAUGGGUGUGCGUCUGAUUAGGUAGUUGGUUGAGGUAACGGCUCACCAAGCCAGCGAUCAGUAACUGGUGUGAGAGCACGACCAGUCACACGGGCACUGAGACACGGGCCCGACUCCUACGGGAGGCAGCAGUAAGGAAUAUUGGUCAAUGGAGGCAACUCUGAACCAGCCAUGCCGCGUGAAGGAUGAAGGUCCUCUGGAUUGUAAACUUCUUUUAUGUGGGAAGAANGCAUUCUUUAUAGAGUGUUUGACGGU